rnacentral:miRNA from 1 species
UCUUUGGUUGUUUAGCUAUAUGA